UCCAUCUCUGUGUAAAUCUGCCUUUCCAGUAAAAGUAAAUCUUAAAAAAAAGUAUUUGGAACCCUUAGCCCAGCACUUGGGGAGCUUUUGUGAUCAUUCGCAGACCCACAUAGAGCAACACAGCUUUGAGUAGCUCCAGGUUCCUAGAGCCAGCUGAGGUUGAAGAAUGCAAUGCUGCUUCUUGUUUCAUGGCUCAGAUUGUGAACUAGUGUCCUUGUUGCAAUCUUUUGUGUACUGAAAUGAUUUUUGCAUUUUCAUGCUUUGUAUUGCUGAAAAUGGCUUCCAGAAUGGCCUGGGACUGACAGAUUGAUACUCCUAAGAGCAAGAAAGCUAGAACGUAGCUUAAAGAGAAAAACAUAUGAGGGUCAAUGAAGCUUUUGUGAGUAGCAUUGCUGUUGAUUCUGAGCCUGAUAUUCAUGUACCAACAACAUGCAUCAGUGAAAUCUGCCUUUUUUUUUUUAAGCAAGAAAAUGCUUGCCAUGGUGAUGUGUGCCAGUGGUGGUGCUAGGAAUGUUGUGACCAGUAGCUUGUAUUUUAUUAGGAGCAAAGGUUUGUCAUUUGCUAAUGUAGGGAUAAAGAUGAUUUGAUAUAAGCAAGUUUUAUCAUUACCAGUCCCAAGGGGCACUUCCUGGGGGAAUCCCUGUGCUUUCCUACCAGCCAGAUCCUCCCGAGUUGGUGAGCAUGCUCAGGUCAUGAAGCCUCCAGAUUCUCUUUUAUCCUGGGUGGAAACUGCAGCUGUAGAGAUACAAAUGUGCCACAGUGUUAGCCCAGAGCCAGGCAUCCUGUCAAAUGCUGACAGAGCUCAAGCUUCACAGUGUGUCCAUGUGUGUGGACACUUUGCUGCAGCUGCAGAAGUUCCAGAAACACACCCUUUCUUGACCUGUCAGAUGAUGUUUUGCGUAGUUCCCCUGGCCCUCUUACAGCCAGAGUGCCCCAGUUCAGGGAACAAUAAAAAUAGACAACACAGGAACUCGUCUGUCUCAGGGGAAAGAGAGUCUUUUGCAUUGAAAGGGAUGAUAUUCUGUAGCUUAAGAACAUCUAAUUUGAGGAUGAGAUUUCACAGAAGAAAAUCAAGGAAUGACGUGAGGGGCUUACCUGUUUCCACUGCCUGUAGCUUUUAUUUUUUUAAUGUGUGUUUUCUCUGCCAAAAAAACAAAAUGAGAAGGCCAUUGAACAGCCUGAUUCUUUGUUGAGGAAAUGGUUUUUUGUGAGGCUGUUUGGUUAUACAAUGAAUGAAAGAGGCAGGACUUCCGGGAUGGGCUCUCUGUCUGGGAUGUGAGGGCUGCUGCGAAGCCUCGGGUUGGUUUUCUGGUGUGUGUGUCUGUUUGUGUGUGAGUGUGUGUGUGUGUGUGUGAGAGAGAGAGAGAGAGAGAGAGAAUGAGAGAGGGUGUGUAUAUAGAGCCUAGUAGCAAAG